CCUACGGGCGGCUGCAGUGGGGAAUAUUGCACAAUGGGCGCAAGCCUGAUGCAGCCAUGCCGCGUGUGUGAAGAAGGCCUUCGGGUUGUAAAGCACUUUCAGCGGGGAGGAAGGCGGUGAGGUUAAUAACCUCAUCGAUUGACGUUACCCACAGAAGAAGCACCGGCUAACUCCGUGCCAGCAGCCGCGGUAAUACGGAGGGUGCAAGCGUUAAUCGGAAUUACUGGGCGUAAAGCGCACGCAGGCGGUCUGUCAAGUCGGAUGUGAAAUCCCCGGGCUCAACCUGGGAACUGCAUUCGAAACUGGCAGGCUAGAGUCUUGUAGAGGGGGGUAGAAUUCCAGGUGUAGCGGUGAAAUGCGUAGAGAUCUGGAGGAAUACCGGUGGCGAAGGCGGCCCCCUGGACAAAGACUGACGCUCAGGUGCGAAAGCGUGGGGAGCAAACAGGAUUAGAUACCCUUGUAGUC
rnacentral:rRNA from 1 species